rnacentral:rRNA from 1 species
AGAGUUUGAUCAUGGCUCAGAACAAACGCUGGCGGCGUACUUAACACAUGCAAGUCGAACGAGAAAGGGAGCUUCGGCUCCUGAGUAAAGUGGCGAACGGGUGCGUAACACGUAAGUAAUCUACCUUAGACUCUGGAAUAACUCUCCGAAAGGGGGGCUAAGGCUGGAUAGGGUCCUCGAGAUGUAGGUCGCGAGGGGAAAGCAGGCCUCUGUUAUAAGCUUGCGGUCUAGGAUGAGCUUGCGUCCCAUUAGUUUGUUGGUGAGGUAACGGCUCACCAAGACGACGAUGGGUAGCUGGUCUGAGAGGAUGAUCAGUCACACUGGCACUGAGACACGGGCCAGACUCCUACGGGAGGCAGCAGUGGGGAAUUUUGCGCAAUGGGCGAAAGCCUGACGCAGUAACGCCGCGUGGAGGACGAAGGCCUUCGGGUUGUAAACUCCUGUCAGGGGGGAAGAAGAACUUGGGCGUAGAAUAUAUUUUCGAGUUCUGACGGUACCCCCAAAGGAAGCCCCGGCUAAUUCCGUGCCAGCAGCCGCGGUAAUACGGAAGGGGCUAGCGUUGUUCGGAAUCAUUGGGCGUAAAGGGCGCGUAGGUGGUCUUGUAUGUCCGUCGUGAAAGUGCACGGCUCAACCGUGUUUGGUCGGCGGAAACUGCAAGACUUGAGGCUGGGAGGGGCUGGAGGAAUUCCCUGUGUAGCGGUGAAAUGCGUAGGGAUAGGGGAGAACACUCGUGGCGAAGGCGUCCAGCUGGACCAGUCCUGACACUGAGCGCGAAAGCGUGGGUAGCAAACAGGGAUUAGAUACCCUGGUAGUCCACGCCAUAAACGAUGGCACUAGUGCCGGCCGUAUUGGAUCCCGUCGGUGCCGGCGCUACGCAGGUAGUGCCCCGCCUUGGGGAUUACCGGUUCGCAGACUGUAACUCGCAUGAAGUUGAGCCCG